rnacentral:rRNA from 1 species
UCAGACAUAACACAUGCAAGUCGAACGGUGUAGCAAAAAACAGUGGAGCACGGGUGCGUAACACGUAUGCAACCUACCUAUCAUUGGGGGAUAGCCUUUGGAAACGGAGAUUAAUACCGCAUAAGACAGUAGCAUGGCAUCAUGUAGCUGUUAAAGCUUUGGCGAUGAUAGAUGGGCAUGCGUCCAAUUAGUUAGUUGGUCAGGUAACGGCUCACCAAGACGAUGAUGGGUAGGGGAUCUAAGAGGAUAAUCCCCCUCUUGGGGAAUGGGAUACGGCCCAGACUCGUACGGGAGGCAGCAGUAGGGAAUAU